UUGGCUUUCCUGCUCAAGACUGGUAUUUUACCCAAGCCAUACUGCUAGUCCAGUAUUUUACUGAUUAACUGGAAAUCGAAUCUUUUCUGCAUAGGCUGGCUUUGAAUAGGAACCUUGAGAUGCUUAAGACUCCUCUGAGUAGCUGGGAUUACAGGCAAGAAUCCUAGGCACCUGGCAAGGGUACUUGUUUUUAUUAGCAUGUUAGUUGUAUAAGAAGGGGUUUCAUUGAGACAUUUCCACAGAAAUAUUCAAUGUAUCUCAUCAACCUUACCUCAAAAUUUGUAUUUUAACAAAGUCCAGUUUAUCAGUUUCUCCCUUUAUGGAACAGGCUUCUUGUAUCUUGUAUCUAAGAACUCUGCCCAGCCUAAUAUAUUUUUUUCUCACUAGAAGUUUUGCAUUUAAGUCCCUCAGUUACUUUUUACAUGAGGAGGCAAGUUUAGGGUAGGUUCCCUUUAUGCCUAUGGAGUACCAUCACUCCAGCACCAUUUGCUGAAAGGUUGUCCUCCCUCCACUUAACUACUUUUCUGUACCUUUGACCAACAUCAGAGAGUGGUUCUGUGUGGUCUGCUUCUGGGUACACAAUUCUCUUCCUCAAUCUGUGUCAAGUCUCUCUGCUCUUUUGGAUGCAGGAAUAAUACUUGAAAUCAGGCACCUUAAGUGCUCUCAUUUCUUUUUUUCAAGUCUUGCUGAGAAUUCAACAGAAAUUGUUAGCCAUUCAU